GUAACUUUAGCCAAUAGGAGAAAGCUUCCAGCAGUGAUUCCAGAGAUUGAGUGUGGGAGGGAGAAGCCCAGAGAGAGCAGGCACAGCAGAGGGAGACCUGUCUAGACAGAAGUGCUGUUCUGCCUGUUAUGAAUAUUCAUAUAUGCCUUACACUGUUGCAUACAACUCCUGGAGUAGCACAACAGUUUGUGAAAGAUGUCAAAGAAUCGGUUGAAGUUAUCAU